rnacentral:rRNA from 1 species
UGGAGGAAAGCAGGGGAUCGUAAGACCUUGCGCUUUUGGAGUGGCCGAUGCCUGAUUAGCUAGUUGGUGGGGUAAGAGCCUACCAAGGCGACGAUCAGUAGUUGGUCUGAGAGGACGACCAGCCACACUGGGACUGAGACACGGCCCAGACUCCUACGGGAGGCAGCAGUGGGGAAUUUUGGACAAUGGGCGAAAGCCUGAUCCAGCAAUGCCGCGUGAGUGAAGAAGGCCUUCGGGUUGUAAAGCUCUUUCAGUCGAGAAGAAAAGGUUGCGACUAAUAAUCGCAACUUAUGACGGUAUCGACAGAAGAAGCACCGGCUAACUACGUGCCAGCAGCCGCGGUAAUACGUAGGGUGCGAGCGUUAAUCGGAAUUACUGGGCGUAAAGGGUGCGCAGGCGGCUCUGUAAGUCAGAUNUGA